GAGCAAAGCAGUAAACAAACAAUGUCGGAAAAACGAAUGAAAAUACCGAGUAAAACCAACGUCUGAGUCGUGGUUUUGUCUCUCUGGUUUGUUGGCACCGCGAAAAACUUCAACACUAAAGAAGUCUUGAUACAAAAAACAAGUUUUGGAGCUGUUUUUGUUGAAGACGAGUGAGGACGCUAAGCACACCUUCACUACAAAGGACUCAAACUUCAACCAGGCAACACCUCAGCUCACAGAGGAGAGAGGCAGAGACAUGAAGAUUAACAGGUGUCACCACUUCAUUCACAAUCACAGAGAUGUCGUCGGCGAUCGCUGAGACAUGGUCCAUGAUCGGAGAGACAUUGUUGAGGAUG